AGCAAUACAGCACUGAUACGGGUAUGGUCCGACACCUCUUGAAGGUUAAUAUAGGUUCUCCAUACCCUACUCCGACUCAAUACGUUCACAGAACGGUGUACGGCGUACAGAACGGUAACUUAUCUCUCCAAUGAUCUGAGCUUGGGUACACGGGGAAACCCAACAAGGAAACCCUUGGGAGGAUGGGUUAUAUGGCUAAAUUGAACGGG
rnacentral:ribozyme from 1 species